rnacentral:rRNA from 1 species
CUACGGGGGGCUGCAGUGGGGAAUAUUGCACAAUGGGCGCGAGCCUGAUGCAGCAACGCCGCGUGAGGGAUGAAGGCCUUCGGGUUGUAAACCUCUUUUAGCAGGGAAGAAGCGAAAGUGACGGUACCUGCAGAAAAAGCACCGGCUAACUACGUGCCAGCAGCCGCGGUAAUACGUAGGGUGCAAGCGUUGUCCGGAAUUAUUGGGCGUAGAGAGCUCGUAGGCGGUUUGUCACGUCUGCUGUGAAAAUCCAAGGCUCAACCUUGGACUUGCAGUGGGUACGGGCAGGCUAGAGUGCGGUAGGGGAGAUGGGAAUUCCUGGUGUAGCGGUGGAAUGCGCAGAUAUCAGGAGGAACACCAAUGGCGAAGGCACAUCUCUGGGCCGUAACUGACGCUGAGGAGCGAAAGCGUGGGGAGCGAACAGGAUUAGAUACCCUAGUAGUC